UAAAUAUAACCGGCAAGAUUGUCCAGCCAAUCUGCCAACAUGUCUACCUCAUGCACCUAUCCCGGUAGACGGUAGCGCAAUCACGCCACACGCCCCGAGCAACUAGGUAUUUAAAACCAAACUCCUGGGGGUCGCGCGCGUAUAAGCCCUCCGGUACAGCCAACGGCUAUGCUGAGCUCAAGCACGACCGUUGCUGACUCACCAGUAAGUAAACCAUUUUUGACAUUAUGGGAUCCCCAUCUCUGAUUCAAACCAAUGCCGGCUUCCUCUUUUAGGCGCGCCGCACUUUAAACCGCCUGCACUAGGCAGGCUGCGAACACACCGGAGCGUAAAAAUGAACACACGCGGCGGAGCCCGUCCUGGCCAUUAUACCGGCCCCACGUGUGUCCAACACCCCGCGCCUCACAGCGCUCACCCGCUAGACGGCCCCGCAUUCCCGCGACAGCGCCCUGAACACACCAACGACCAGGCAUUGGAAAACCUGUUUGACUCAUCCCUGAAGACAUCACGUCCGGCACCUAGAACAACAUCACUUCCGGCUCCGGCGCCUAGGACGAAGUCACUUCUGGUUAUGAUGUCGGAAGAAGUGUGCUCUCUACAUUGCCACUGGAAGAGCAUUUGAUUUCAGUCAGGAAGACAUGCCAUAAAUUAGAAGAUGGUGGUGUUGUCUCUUACGUCGCAAAGCCAGCAUGAAAAGUGCCUAGUAGUAUGGAAAGUGUGGUCCUCACAAAGACACAGCCCUGUCAGGUACUCUGUGUAGUGAAAUGAUUCUCACGGCUCAAACACAGCAAAUGCCUUAAAGGGCGUACCGCAGAGGCAAAAAGCAAGAGAAAUCAAUCGAGCUGAGCAUUCCUACGACAUGCUGUGGUCAUAUUGUCUUCAUUGAUCCAAAACAUCUUGACUGCUUGUGACUGGCUGGAUGCCAACAAAGACAGACUUGUUGGGACAGAACUCCGGCCAAGAAUUCUGGAAAUGGACGAGGAUGAAGUUAUGUACACAACUGAAAAAUUAGAACAAAGAGGAGACGAUGAAAAUACUGAAAAAGUCAUGUCCACCUUGUUGUUUAUUUUUGACUGCCUGAAGGACAUGCACUUUUUUCUUGAUGAGAUACAGGGUAAAAAAAAAUCCCAUCAGUUGCUGCUGUUCUACAAAUUAGAUUUUUGUGUUUUAUUUUUUUUUUCAGCCUUCAAAAUUUCAAAGGAGCCUACAUGUGGCAGAAAUCCUACAGUGGUGUCAUUUUGUUCAGUGGUUCACUGUAAAGAAAAGUGGGGAUGGACUGGUUUUCUGAUCUGGUUCAAUAGUUCCUUGUCUACUGAAAUGACCGAUGUGAUGGAUGGAGGACACGGGUGGAUGUCCUAACUGGGAUUGUGUGCUUUAUCAUUUAAAAAUAAAUUCAUAUUUG